CGUGUAGGCGGUGCGUUAAGUCGGGUGUCACAGCCCAGGGCACAACCCUGGAUCGGCGCUCGAUACUGACGCACUUGAGUUCGGAAGAGGAGAGUGGAAUUCCCAGUGUAGCGGUGAAAUGCGUAGAUAUUGGGAGGAACACCAGUGGCGAAGGCGACUCUCUGGUCCGUAACUGACGCUGAGGCGCGAAAGCCAGGGGAGCGAACG
rnacentral:rRNA from 1 species